UGACAGUUAGUUCAUGAUUGUAUGGUUUAACGCUUGCAGUGUAAGAAAGCUGGACGCUGAAAUUAGAAAGCAGAUACAUCUAAAGCAGAACAAAAAUCUUCGCAAUUUCAUCUGAUCUGUUUUCGGCGCAAUUAACGUUAAUUUUUUUUAUUGGAUUUCUUCCGAUUCCGGCAUCAUGAGUUUCAUCUUCGGAAAGAGGAAAAACCCUGCAGAAAUCGUGAGGGAGAAUAAGAGAAUGCUGGACAAAUCAAUUAGAGAGAUAGAACGAGAGAGACAAGUUUUGCAGUCACAGGAGAAGAAACUGAUUUUAGAGAUAAAGAAAAGUGCCAAACAAGGC
rnacentral:sRNA from 1 species